CUGAUCCAGCCAUGCCGCGUGUCUGAAGAAGGCCUUCGGGUUGUAAAGGACUUUUGUCAGGGAGGAAAUCCCUAAGGUUAAUACCCUUGGGGGAUGACAGUACCUGAAGAAUAAGCACCGGCUAACUACGUGCCAGCAGCCGCGGUAAUACGUAGGGUGCAAGCGUUAAUCGGAAUUACUGGGCGUAAAGCGUGCGCAGGCGGUUGUGUAAGUCUGAUGUGAAAGCCCCGGGCUCAACCUGGGAACUGCAUUGGAGACUGCACGGCUAGAGUGCGUCAGAGGGGGGUAGAAUUCCGCGUGUAGCAGUGAAAUGCGUAGAGAUGCGGAGGAAUACCGAUGGCGAAGGCAGCCCCCUGGGAUGACACUGACGCUCAUGCACGAAAGCGUGGGGAGCAAACAGGAUUAGAUACCCUGGUAGUCCACGCCCUAAACGAUGUCAACUAGCUGUUGGGGGUUUGAAUCCUUGGUAGCGUAGCUAACGCGAGAAGUUGACCGCCUGGGGAGUACGGCCGCAAGGUUAAAACUCAAAGGAAUUGACGGGGACCCGCACAAGCGGUGGAUGAUGUGGAUUAAUUCGAUGCAACGCGAAAAACCUUACCUGGUCUUGACAUGUACAGAACUUUCCAGAGAUGGAUU
rnacentral:rRNA from 1 species